rnacentral:rRNA from 1 species
GUGUCAGCAGCCGCGGUAAUACAGAGGUGGCAAGCGUUGUUCGGAUUUAUUGGGCGUAAAGGGUCCGUAGGCGGUCCGGAAAGUUGGAUGUGAAAUCCUACAGCUUAACUGUAGAACUGCAUUCAAAACUCUCGGACUAGAGUGUGAGAGGGGUAAGGGGAAUUCCCGGUGUAAGGGUGAAAUCUGCAGAGAUCGGGAGGAACACCAGUCGCGAAGGCGCCUUACUGGCUCACUACUGACGCUCAGGGACGAAAGCUAGGGUAGCAAACGGGAUUAGAUACCCCUGUAGUCC